UGGUUAUUCACAAUCAUCACAUUGAGCAGAGGGGAGAAAAUUGCGAGGAGGGGAGGAGGAUUCCGAAUCGCAGUUGCAACCCAGUAAUCCACUCCACCACCGCACGGAUUCGAUCGCCGCCGCCGCCGCCAUCGCCUCCCCCCACCGCUGUAGGAACCCUCACGGCCGGCGCCGCUACCCUCCCCCUUCCCUUCGACUAGGGUCUCCUUUCGUCCCGCACUGCGAGCUGCUAGGGUUCCCCUCGCCCUUGCCCUCGCCCUCGCCGGUUAGGGUUCCCCCGUUGGCCCCCUCCUCUUCAACGGGGUGCGGGCGGACGCUGGGGAAGAAGGGCGCCUAGGGCCUCGCCGCCCAAUGGCUCCCGCCGCAAAGCGGGGCGCCAAGGGCACCAAAUGGAACAGAGACCCGCAGCUCGGGGACCUCGUCCUCGCCAAGGUCAAGGGCUACCCUUUCUGGCCAGCCAAGGUGAGCAGGCCGGAGGAUUGGAAUCAGGAGCCCACUCCGCGCAAGUUCUUUGUCCUCUUCUUUGGCACCAAAGAGAUUGCUUUCGUAGGUUUGCCAGAUCUCCAGCCAUUUACAGAACAGGUGAAGAAUGACUUGGUAAAUCAAGCUCGAGAGAAAAGAUUUCCGAAAAGACAUGCGAAAGGUCUUGAAGAAGCCUUGGUGGAGAUAUGCAAGGCCUAUGACGAGCUGCCAAAAUCAUCUGAAACUGCCAAUGAUGUGUUGCCUGAUCAAACUCUUGAUAUGAGUGAGAAACCUACAGAAUCCCUUGUAAAGCCACCUGAUGAUGGUGAGACUCCAAGAGUGGAACAAAUGGAAGUUGAUAGUUCUGUGGACAACUUGAAUACUUUAAGGCACGGUUCAGGAACCGAGGAGAAUGUGAAAGAUGGUGGUCAUGACAGAAAGGACAUUGUUCCAGCAGUUAUUAAUAGGAAAAAACCUGCAGAAAAGGAUUCUGACCAUCCCAAGAAAAAGAAGCCUGUGACAUCGAAGUCAGCUACCAACAUGCACCUUGAACAAAUGGAAGUUGAUAGUUCUGUGGGCAACUUGAAUAAUUUAAGGCACGGUUCAGGAACUGAGGAGAACGUGAAAGAUGGUGGUCAUGACAGAAAGGAUACUUUUCCAACAGUUACUAAUAGGAAAAAAUCUGUAGAAAAGAAUUCUGACCAUCCCAAGAAAAAGAAGCCUGUCACAUCGAAGUCAGCUAUCAACAUGCACCUUGAACAAGCACGCUCACCAACCUCUCUGUUCUCAGGAAGAGAGACUGAAGGCCAAAAAGUUGGGAAAGAGGGCCGUCCAACUGAAGGUAUCCUUUUGGACCCUAAUGUAGAGAUAGUUUGUGCCCUUGAAGUGCCAAAGAAAGAUAAAUCCAAGAUGCAGUUGAAGACUGCUGACAGGGAGGAAAACAAGCAUGUCGAUGGCACUGGUAUUUCUGGGAGGACUACUCCUGAGGCUCUACCUGGUACUGUACCAGCCAAUAGUGCUGACAAAGAGAGCGGAGGAUUUAGAAAGCUGAAACCGAUGAUGAAACAAUCACUUAUGGACAAAUCAGAGAGAAGGUGCCCUAACAAAGUAAUGGUUGACAAGCCUAACAAGCAGUUGACUGUAAAAUCACCUGUUGUCUUGUCUUCCAAUAAGAAAUCUCUGCCUGGUAGUGGUCAGCGCAAGCCGGAGGGUAGCACUGAUAUGCGUCCGGCAAAGAGGCCAAAACUAGUAGACAGAGCCAAUGAAACAGUUAAGACAGGGGCAAAGAGUGAACUUAGGUUACCUGUUGAUAAUGGAAAGGAUAAUUCUGUGAAAAAUGAGAAAUCCACUUCCGUUGGAGCCAGAAACAACACAUUUCCCGAGACUGUAACCGCUGAUGGUAGGACAAGGAAAUCAGGUGUAGUUGUAUCACCCCUACCAAGGCCGCAUUCUGAGCGAAUGGAACAGGCACCUGGUUCUGCAACCAAGUUAAUUGGUUUUGAUACUGCUAAGAAGGGCUCCAGCAUGAGGGAGGAUGGCUCACGUGUUGGUAGGCCAUUGGCACAACCCAGGAGAAGAGCAUGUCGUUUCGAUGAUGAUGAGGAGGAAGAACAACGAACCCCACCUCAUAAAACUGUGGCCAAAUCAAUCUCCACUCAUGUAACCCCAACAGACAAGAUCCAUCAGACAGGUAUUCGGGGGAUUCCUUCAUCACAAGUUGGCAAUGUUUCUGCAAAAAAAUCUGGUUUGGCAAGAGAAGAGAAACCCAGAAGUGUUGGAAGGUCACCUGUGAAGCACGAGCCAAUUUAUUCACCAAGUCAAGGUAAAGUGCACGCUAGACCACAAAUGACUGGGCGAAAAUCGGCCACUAUCUCAGUUGACACUUCUUCUGCUUUGGGUAACAAGAUUAACCCGGCAGACCGCAAAUCCUCGGACCAAUUAAAAAAUCCAGGAUCAUCUGAAGUGAAGAAACCGCAAGGUAGUUCUUCUAAAGUAGUGCAGCAGACAUCUGGGAACUCUCACUCUCAAAGCCAUGCUACCUUAGAAAAGAAUGUACUUCUGUCUAAAUCAGAAAAUGCCAAGGUUAAAGCUAAGCCCAGCACACAGAUAGCUAUGACUGCCGAGAAUAGGUUAAGUGCCACUUUGUCAGAUGAACGAAGCGGGAAGCUGGAUCACUCUAAAGAGGACAGAUCAAAUUUUGUUGAUAAAGCAGAUUUCGCUGAGUCUAAUGCUGACUCUGACAAGUCAAUUAAGCGUCUUAUUGCAGCUGCCCAAGCAAAGAGAAACCAUCUUGCGUCUGGUCAAGGAAAUUCUGAUGGCUCUUCUGCAGAUAAUGCUGUUCUUGCUUCCGCAGCGUAUGGCUUGCCUGGACUAAGUCCUAGUCCUGUUUUUCACAUUCCUUCUGCAUCAAGAAAUGCUAUUUCAGAGGGUGACAUCAUGCAAUCUCAAGAUUCCAUCUGUGAACCUGGUCACCGAGUUGAUCUGAAAAAGCCAGCAGAAACUGACCAUGAACAUGAAAAGAGUCCGAAACCUAAGCAAUCCAGCAGUUCACUGGGUGGUGGUACUGAUGCAGCAAUUGCACGUGAUGCCCUGGAGGGAAUGAUAGAGACUCUGUCGAGGACAAAGGAUAGUAUAGGUCGUGCUACACGUCAUGCAAUCGAGUGCUUGAAACAUGGCAUUGCUGAAGAGAUUGUUGCGCUUCUCAUAAGGAAAAUCGAGAAUGAGCCUAAUUUGCAUCGCAAGGUUGAUCUCCUUUUUCUUUUGGACUCCAUAACACAGUGUUCUCACUCUCAGAAAGGCGUUGCUGGGGCUUCAUAUGUUCCCACUGUUCAAGCUGCAUUACCUCGUCUUUUGAGUGCUGCUGCUCCACCUGUAGCUGGUGCUCGUGAAAACCGACGCCAGUGCCUAAAAGUUUUAAGAUUGUGGCUAGAGAGAAAGAUUAUGCCAGAAAAUGUACUGCGAAAAUACAUGAAUGACAUAGAGGUGCCAAAUGAUAACACACACGCUGGUUUCAUGCUCAGGCGACCGUCCCGAGCUGAACGUUCUGUUGAUGACCCUAUUAGGGAGAUGGAUGACAUGCUUGUUGAUGAAUAUGGCAGUAAUACAACCAUUGAGUUCUCUGGAAUAUUAUCAUCAAAUGUCUUUGUAAAUGAUGAGGAUUUCCGUCGGAUUGAUGGGUCAUUGCCAGUUAUUUCACUGCGAGUUGGAGGGGGUGGGAUACAAGAAAGUGAAGAGAUUAUUGCUCCAAACUCUGUUGAGGAACACAUUACGGUACUAGAAAGUGCAACUAGUGAUGCUGUAAUGGAAGAUGCUUCAGUUUUACCAAGGAACAGUCAACAGAUAGAGGGAUCUACCCUCAUUGAGCAUGAUUCUAAGCAGGAAGCAGGUUCAGAGGAGGCAUUGACUAAUCAGUACGAGCUUCCCCCUCUACCUGAGGGUCCUCCACCUCUUCCACUGGAUUCAUUAUCUCCCCAGCCUUUACCUGAGGGCCCUCCACCUCUUCCAUUGGAUUCACCGCCUCCCCCACCUCCUUUGCCCCCUUCACCACCACCUGCUACACCACCUCCGCCGCCACCACCACUUUCACCAUCUUCGCCACCUCCACCGCCACCCCUGCCAUCUGGACCACCUCCGCAGCCUGCUCCACCACCUCCUCAUCCUUCAAUCCCGCCACCUGUUCCGUCAUCUCCAUCAUCACUGGGUUAUCAGCAUGCCAUGCCAGAAUAUUUUAGGCCUCCCAAUGGUAACCAACUAACAGGAAAUUCAUCAAUUCAAGGUGUUGGAAAUACGCCGAACUUUAUGCCUGCUGUACCAGUGAAUGCACAAGCUCCAGUUAAUUAUGCCCCAUCAUUGCCACCGGAUUAUGGAAGCAACAAUAUCUUUCUGCCACAGCAAGCUUCUAAUGGUAAUUAUCAGUUUCAGCCUGGUGUAUCUUUUCAUCAAGGGGCUUUCAGUGCUUUCCCAUCGGCACAAACACCACCAGUUCACCCCCACACUCAUCACACACACAUUAACCCCAUGGGCCAACAAUCUGUACCACCUCCAUGCAAUUCUUAUGGUGUACAGCCCUUUCCAAAUAGUCAAAGCCAGUAUACAUCGGAAGAACAGUGGCGAAUGACAUCUGGUAACUUCAGUCCAGAUGACCAGCAUAAUACCUGGUUACCAGGUGGCAGAUCACUAUCUUGUUCAGACGGGUCAUUCAUGCAGGAUGGGUAUCCGAGGUCGAACAUUGACAGAUCUUCAAUGAAUCCAAUGAGUCAUCAACAUGCUGUACUUAACCAUUUGCCGUCUGGAGCACCACAUCCAGGCCAUGUUGUUCCUCACAUGCUGCCAGCCAAGCCUGAUAUUCAUGCACUUAAUUGCUGGAGGCCUUCUGGAUGAACCUGUAUAAUUAACUCUGCGGUUUUGACAUGGGAAAUUGGAGACGUUGGGAGCCAUUUUAAAUGGGGAUUCAACAAGAGGUGCUUAUGUUAGCCUGUUCUGCGAUGAGGAUGCACUUUUGCCUGGGGAGUAAUGAUGAGAUCUGAUGUUAGUAAUUGGAAUGGACAUUUUACAUUGUAAUUAGUCUUGACAGCAGCAUCCAGCAGACUAAUCUCUCUUAGUGUCUGGAAACUAUACAAGUCGGCGGCGUGUGUUAUGAUGUGGUUGCGAUGGCUGUUACCUGUUGGUGGAGUUGAGGGGAGCUCAUGUGGUGAGUCGAGUGUUUUCUUUUUACCUGAGGGGAUGGAUGUUGAGUGCUUAGUUUGUAGAGAGGUAAGCCUCACUGAAGAAUUGUACAAAAGAGAUACUCAAUGUACAGCUUUUUGGGCAAAACUUUUAAAAGGGAAGUUGAUGUAUAUGUUGUUAUGCGUAGGGGUAGUCCCUUGGCACAAGCUAGGGAUGAUAGAUGUUGCUUCAUUGUUUUGUUGGACAAAAUGGAAGAAAGAAAUGUUGUGAUGAUGAGUCCAAACCUGGGGUGCAAAGGGUGGCGUAGCUCAAGUUUUCCUGUGAUGGUUCAUCUUUCUGGAAAAGGGAGGCAUGCACCGCACAGCAGGUUGUUAUUAGUAUCAUCAGUAACUGUGCGGGGAUGAUGUUCUGUUGGACCGUAGCCGUGUCGAUUCGGUUAGGGUAUGAGAAAUAUAUGUUGCCCUGGUGGUUAUUGUAAGCAGGAUGUGUGGAGGUGUAUAUUCAGUGAAGUGUUUGUUGUUGUUGAGAUGGGGACAGUGACUGUAGAGCACUAGCUGCUGCAUCUGCAUCUUCAUCUGGGUAGUUAAAUAGCGAAUGGAAGGGGCAUUCAGAUCAAGCCUAGGCUGAAUAAUCCAUCUACAUGCUGCGCUGUGAGCAGUACGUAGUAGAAUUAGUG
rnacentral:rRNA from 1 species